rnacentral:rRNA from 1 species
UACGAAGGGGGCUAGCGUUGCUCGGAAUUACUGGGCGUAAAGGGUGCGUAGGCGGCGCGGUAAGUCGGGUGUGAAAUCUCGGAGCUUAACUCCGAAACUGCAUUCGAUACUGCCGUGCUUGAGGACUGGAGAGGAGACUGGAAUUUACGGUGUAGCGGUGAAAUGCGUAGAUAUCGUAAGGAAGACCAGUGGCGAAGGCGGGUCUCUGGACAGUUCCUGACGCUGAGGCACGAAGGUCAGGGGAGCAAACGGG